CGAAGGAUGCAAGCGUUAUCCGGAUUCACUGGGUUUAAAGGGUGUGCAGGUGGGGUAAUAAGUCAGUGGUGAAAGCCCCCGACUCAAUCGGGGAACUGCCAUAGAUACUGUUAUUCUUGAGUGUGGUUGAGGCGGAUGGAAUAUGACAUGUAGCGGUGAAAUGCUUAGAUAUGUCAUAGAACACCGAUCGCGAAGGCAGUCCGCCAAACCAUUACUGACACUGAAACACGAAAGUGCGGGGAUCAAACAGGAUUAGAUACCCUGGUAGUCCGCACCGUAAACGAUGAUCACUCGUUGUUGGCGACAUACAGUCAGCGACUAAGCGAAAGCAUUAAGUGAUCCACCUGGGAAGUACGACCGCAAGGUUG
rnacentral:rRNA from 1 species